UCGAACGGUAACAGGUCUUCGGAUGCUGCCGAGUGGCGAACGGGUGAGUAAUACAUCGGAACGUGCCCGAUCGUGGGGGAUAACGAAGCGAAAGCUUUGCUAAUACCGCAUACGAUCUACGGAUGAAAGCAGGGGACCGCAAGGCCUUGCGCGAACGGAGCGGCCGAUGGCAGAUUAGGUAGUUGGUGGGAUAAAAGCUUACCAAGCCGACGAUCUGUAGCUGGUCUGAGAGGACGACCAGCCACACUGGGACUGAGACACGGCCCAGACUCCUACGGGAGGCAGCAGUGGGGAAUUUUGGACAAUGGGCGAAAGCCUGAUCCAGCCAUGCCGCGUGCAGGAUGAAGGCCUUCGGGUUGUAAACUGCUUUUGUACGGAACGAAAAGACUCUGGUUAAUACCUGGGGUCCAUGACGGUACCGUAAGAAUAAGCACCGGCUAACUACGUGCCAGCAGCCGCGUAAU
rnacentral:rRNA from 1 species